rnacentral:rRNA from 1 species
CCUACGGGUGGCAGCAGUCGAGAAUAAUUCACAAUGGGGGCAACCCUGAUGGUGCAACGCCGCGUGGAGGAUGAAGGUCUUCGGAUUGUAAACUCCUGUCAUCCGGGAGUAAGACCUGGCGAUGAAUAGUCGACAGGGUUGAUAGUACCGGAAGAGGAAGGGACGGCUAACUUCGUGCCAGCAGCCGCGGUAAUACGAAGGUCCCGAGCGUUGUUCGGAAUCACUGGGCGUAAAGGGAGCGUAGGCGGCGUGGUAAGUCAGAUGUGAAAUCCCGGGGCUCAACCCCGGAACUGCAUCCGAUACUGCCGUGCUCGAGGAUUGGAGAGGUAGCUGGAAUUCACGGUGUAGCAGUGAAAUGCGUAGAUAUCGUGAGGAACACUCGUGGCGAAAGCGAGCUACUGGACAACUCCUGACGCUGAGGCUCGAAGGCCAGGGUAGCGAAAGGGAUUAGAUACCCCAGUAGUC